AUUGAACGCUGGCGGAAUGCUUUACACAUGCAAGUCGAACGGCAGCACGGACUUCGGUCUGGUGGCGAGUGGCGAACGGGUGAGUAAUAUAUCGGAACGUGCCCAGUCGUGGGGGAUAACGUAGUGAAAGUUACGCUAAUACCGCAUACGACCUACGGAUGACAGCGGGGGAUCGCAAGACCUCGCGCGAUUGGACCGGCCGAUAUCAGAUUAGGUAGUUGGUGAGGUAAAGGCUCACCAAGCCGACGAUCUGUAGCUGAACUGAGAGGACGACCAGCCACACUGGGACUGAGACACGGCCCAGACUCCUACGGGAGGCAGCAGUGGGGAAUUUUGGACAAUGGACGCAAGUCUGAUCCAGUCAUUCCGCGUGCAGGACGAAGGCCUUCGGGUUGUAAACUGCUUUUGUACAGAACGAAAAGGUCUCUAUUAAUACUGGGGGCUCAUGACGGUACUGUAAGAAUAAGCACCGGCUAACUACGUGCCAGCCGCCGCUGUAA
rnacentral:rRNA from 1 species